AGAGCGGGGGCUGAGGGGCUGAGGAGAGGAGAGCGGGGGCUGAGGGGCUGAGGAGAGGAGAGCGGGGGCUGAGGGGCUGAGGAGAGGAGAGCUGGGCCGGAGGGGGGGCUGCGCUGUGGGCAGGGCGGGUGCCGGGGUGCGGGAGACCGAGCUGACCUAGCCCGCACCUGCCAUGGGACCUACGGCUGGAGAGGGUCGUGGGAAAGGAAGCCCCCGGAGCCGCGCGGGGACCACCCGUCUAGACGCUUAAAACUCGCACCUUGCAGCGCAUCAGGACCCGGGUUCGAGCCCCUGGUCCCCACCUGCACGUGAGGGUCCCUCACCUUCAUGAGGGGUGAAGCAGGCCUGCAGAGUCGAGUGGAUUUUGAUCCGGCCUCCCGGACACCGGUUACCAGCGCGACACAGCGAAGGAACGUCUUGCGGGCGCGCUGGGCAGGCAGAGGCACCGGCUAGGUGACGGCUAGGUGACGAGCACACACACCCCUUACACUUCGGCCCUCCUCAGCUGCACAGAAAGAUCUGCGUGGCCUGACAGCCGUCUUUUCAAGUCUUAAUGAUUUCACCCGGUUCCACAGGUAGCCAGACGAGGCUGGGCAGCGCCCCUUGCCCGUGCACACCACCGUGCACAACCCUUUGCCUGGGUUCCAGUGCCCUCCAAACAGGCGCAAGGACCCGUCUUUAGUUUUCAUUCUGUGGUUUUAACGGCUGGUUUUUGUGUGUGUUUGGUUGGUUGGUUUUUGCCUCUCUUUGACCGAAGAGCUUGGUCCGCCCAUUGGUAGCCAUUGCAACACUUCAUUGAAACUGAUCAAUCUUGCCGAAUUGAUCAUCUCCUUUAAAAUCAGCUUUCACCCAGCAGUAAGAGCUGGGUAGAGUUCGUGUUUUUGCAAAGAGGUUGAUUCUGACUCAUUCCAUACAGCGGGGUCCCCUCCACAGCUGAAUAAAGUCCUGGCGGCUAUUCA